AAAAGAAAGUAGUUAAGGGCGCAUGGCGGAUGCCUUGGCUCUCGGAGGCGAUGAAGGACGUGAUAAGCUGCGAUAAGCCUCGGGUAGGUGCAAAUAACCUUUGAUCCGGGGAUUUCCGAAUGGGACAACCCAAUGCGUUGAAGACGCAUUAUCCUGUAUUUUUUUAUCAGGAGGCUAACGCAGGGAACUGAAACAUCUUAGUACCUGCAGGAACAGAAAAUAAUAAUGAUUCCCCCAGUAGCGGCGAGCGAACGGGGAUUAGCCCAAACCGUCGGUGUUACGGCACCGCCGGGGUUGUAGGACCACGUUUUGGCAUGAUGUUUGGUGAAUAGAAUGUUCUGGAAAGUUCAACCAUAGAGCAUGAUAGUUGCGUAUAUGAAGCCAGAUGAAGCCUAGUGGUAUCCUGAGUAGCGCGGGACACGAGAAAUCCUGCGUGAAUCUGCCGGGCCCAUCCGGUAAGGCUAAAUACUCCCGAGAGACCGAUAGUGAACCAGUACCGUGAGGGAAAGGUGAAAAGCACCUCGAACAGAGGAGUGAAAUAGUCCCUGAAACCAUGCGCCUACAAGCGGUCGGAGCACAUUUUUGUUGUGUGACGGCGUGCCUUUUGCAUAAUGAACCUACGAGUUACUUUUUCCGGCGAGGUUAAGGGAAUUGAUUCCCGGAUCCGAAGCGAAAGCGAGUCUUAACAGGGCGGUUAGUCGGAAUGAGUAGACGCGAAACCAAGUGAUCUACCCUUGGCCAGGUUGAAGGUCAGGUAACACUGACUGGAGGACCGAACCGAUAAGCGUUGAAAAGCUUCCGGAUGAGCUGAGGGUGGGGGUGAAAGGCUAAUCAAACUUGGAGAUAGCUCGUACUCCCCGAAAUGCAUUUAGGUGCAGCCUCGGGUUUUUUUCUAAUGAGAGGUAGAGCGACUGAUAAGAUGCGAGGGCUUCGCCGCCUAUCAAGUCUUGACAAACUCCGAAUGCUCAUUAGUCAUAUCCCGGGAGUGAGGGCAUGGGUGCUAAGGUCCAUGUCCUAAAGGAGAAGAAUCCGGACCACCGGCUAAGGUCCCCAAAUAAUCGCUAAGUUGAACUAACGAAGUCAGAUUGCUAAGACAGCUAGGAUGUUGGCUUGGAAGCAGCCAUUCAUUUAAAGAGUGCGUAACAGCUCACUAGUCGAGGAGUUUGGCGUGGAUAAUAAUCGGGCAUUAAGCGAUUUACCGAAGCCGUGGGAUGUUUUAAUACAUCGGUAGGGGAGCAUUCCACUCAGCGUUGAAGGCGAAGCGUGAGCUUCUCUGGAGCGUGUGGAAACGCAAAUGUAGGUAUAAGUAACGAUAAAGGGGGUGAGAAACCCCCUCGCCGUAAGACUAAGGUUUCCUGAUCAACGCUAAUCGGAUCAGGGUCAGUCGGGUCCUAAGGCUCAGCCGAUGGGCGAUGCCGAUGGCAGAACAGGUUAAUAUUCCUGUACUACCUUCAGGAGUGACGUGGAGACGGAGGCGUGACAGCGCCGCGGACUGACGGAAUAGUCCGUUGAAGAGUUUAGAUG
rnacentral:rRNA from 1 species